rnacentral:ncRNA from 1 species
CAAAAGUUUUAUUCUUGCUUAUUUAUUUAUUAUAUUCUUUGUAUUAUAUGUGAGUUUUGUUAUACUAAAUGUUCUUUUUGCAGUAAUUUGAUUUAAUUAUUAAGUAAAUUGGAAUAGCAAUUGAUUAAGCAUUGGCAUAUUUCGUGCCAGCAGUCGCGGUUAUACGAUUAAUGCAUUUAAAUAUUAUUGGUUAAGACAGUUAUUUAUAGUUUAAUGAAUAUAAUUAUUAAUUUUUUAGGUGGAAUUUAAAUUUAUUUUUUGUUCUUAUUAUGAAUCUGUGAAACUUAAACUAUAAACUAGGAUUAGAUACCCUAUUAUUUUAAGUGUAAAUUAUAUUUACCUGGGUAAUAUUAGUUAAGGUCUUUAAACCCAAAGAAUUUGGCGGUACCUUAUUCCAUUCAGAGGAACCUACCCUAUAAUUGAUAGUACACGAUUAGCUUUACUUAAUUUAUUUGUUUGUAUAUCUCCGUUAAUCAGAAGAUCUUUUUAGAGUUAUAAUUUUCUUGAAUUAUAAUUAUAAUUUAUUUCAGGUCAAGGUGCAGCUUAUAAUUAAGAAGAGGUGGGUUACAAUAGAUUAUUGUUUAUAAUGGAUUUAAUUUUUAAAAUUUUAAUGAAGGUGGAUUUGAUAGUAAUUUAAUUUAUUUAAUUUAAUUGAUAUUGGCUCUAAGGUGUGUACACAUCGCCCGUCGCUCUCAUUAUUAGGUGUUUAUUAUAUAGUAAUUAUCUUAUUUUAGAUGAGAUAAGUCGUAACAUAGUAGAUGUACUGGAAAGUGUAUCUAGUAAGUUUC